rnacentral:rRNA from 1 species
UACGGAGGGGGCUAGCGUUGUUCGGAAUUACUGGGCGUAAAGCGCACGUAGGCGGCUUUGUAAGUUAGAGGUGAAAGCCCGGGGCUUAACCCCGGAAUAGCCUUUAAGACUGCAUCGCUUGAACACGGGAGAGGUGAGUGGAAUUCCGAGUGUAGAGGUGAAAUUCGUAGAUAUUCGGAAGAACACCAGUGGCGAAGGCGGCUCACUGGCCCGAUACUGACGCUGAGGCACGGAAAGCGUGGGGAGCAAACAGGG